rnacentral:rRNA from 1 species
AGGUGUUGCAUGGCUGUCGUCAGCUCGUGUCGUGAGAUGUCGGUUAAGUCCGCUAACGAGCGCAACCCUCGCUGUGUGUUACAAGUGUCACACGGUACUGCCGAUAUUAAGUCGGAGGAAGGUGGGGAUGACGUCAAGUCAGCAUGACCUUUAUAUCCAGGGCUACACACACGCUACAAUGGCCAGUACAAUGGGUUGCCAAGCCGCGAGGCGGAGCCAAUCCUAAAAAGCUGGCCUCAGUUCAGAUUGCAGUCUGCAACUCGACUGCAUGAAGUUGGAGUUGCUAGUAACCGCAGGUCAGCAAUACUGCGGUGAAUACGUUCCCGGGGAUU